UAUCACGCGAGAAGCGGGCAGUCCAGAGCUGAAUGACACACAUGCUUAUUCUUUUCAGUAACCAACCUGCUAACGUUGCUUUUCUCCCCAAACUAUUCUUUCAAAGAUUGCCAGACACGAUCUAACACAUAAGGUUCUAGGAGCACCAGAUGAUUGCAAACUAUGGGGAAGAUAUCCUAAAGAAAAACAGGCCCUGUGAAGCUGUCAGUGAAGAAAUAACCCCUGAGGUCCCUGUAACUGCCAGUGGGUCCGAAUGCAAUUGCCAGACGACUUGAGACAUGGAAAGGUAUCUGCAUCCACAGGAAGAUGGUGUGCCUCAAAAUUGUCUCUAAACAGCAAUCAUUCUGGACCAGACAGCGUAAUCUGUAUGAAGUCUCAUGCUGUGUGUGCUUAACUUACAUAAAAUCAACUCUAUAUGCUUUGC